AACGAACGCUGGCGGCAGGCUUAACACAUGCAAGUCGAACGCACCUUUCGGGGUGAGUGGCAGACGGGUGAGUAACGCGUGGGAAUCUACCCUUCUCUACGGGAUAGCUCCGGGAAACUGGAAUUAAUACCGUAUACGUCCUGAGGGAGAAAGAUUUAUCGGGGAAGGAUGAGCCCGCGUUGGAUUAGCUAGUUGGUGGGGUAAAGGCCUACCAAGGCGACGAUCCAUAGCUGGUCUAAGAGGAUGAUCAGCCACAUUGGGACUGAGACACGGCCCAAACUCCUACGGGAGGCAGCAGUGGGGAAUAUUGGACAAUGGGCGCAAGCCUGAUCCAGCCAUGCCGCGUGAGUGAUGAAGGCCCUAGGGUUGUAAAGCUCUUUCAGUGGGGACGAUAAUGACGGUACCCACAGAAGAAGCCCCGGCUAACUUCGUGCCAGCAGCCGCCGCGG
rnacentral:rRNA from 1 species